AGUGAACGCUGGCGGUAGGCCUAACACAUGCAAGUCGAACGGCAGCACAGGAGAGCUUGCUCUCUGGGUGGCGAGUGGCGGACGGGUGAGGAAUACAUCGGAAUCUACUUUUUCGUGGGGGAUAACGUAGGGAAACUAACGCUAAUACCGCAUACGACCUACGGGUGAAAGCAGGGGAUCUUCGGACCUUGCGCGAUUGAAUGAGCCGAUGUCGGAUUAGCUAGUUGGCGGGGUAAAGGCCCACCAAGGCGACGAUCCGUAGCUGGUCUGAGAGGAUGAUCAGCCACACUGGAACUGAGACACGGUCCAGACUCCUACGGGAGGCAGCAGUGGGGAAUAUUGGACGAUGGGCGCAAGCCUGAUCCAGCCAUACCGCGUGGGUGAAGAAGGCCUUCGGGUUGUAGAGCCCUUUUGUUGGGAAAGAAAUCCAGCUGGUUAAUACCCGGUUGGGAUGACGGUACCCAAAGAAUAAGCACCGGCUAACUUCGUGCCAGCCGCCGCCGUAA
rnacentral:rRNA from 1 species